UACGUAGGGGCGAGCGUUGUCCGGAAUUAUUGGGCGUAAAGGGUUCGUAGGCGGUAAUACAUGUCAGAUGUGAGAUCUUGUGGCUUAACCACAUCAAGCAUCUGAAACUGUAUAACUUGAGUGGAGGAGAGGUAAGUGGAAUUCCUAGUGUAGCGGUGAAAUGCGUAGAUAUUAGGAAGAAUACCAGUAGCGAAGGCGACUUACUGGCCUCUAACUGACGCUGAUGAACGAAAGCGUGGGUAGCAAACAGGAUUAGAUACCCCUGUA
rnacentral:rRNA from 1 species